AACUUUUACAUUUAUUUCCACAGACACUCCACAGAAUGGGAGUCACAUUUGUGUCAAUCAGAAUCUUCAGGAACGUCCUGAUGUCCGUGAUGAGGACAGAGAUGCAACUGUGUCUGCAUCCAGGACCUACUGCCAGUCAUCCAGAUGUAGCUAAAGAAAGAAGCAGCUGAUGGAGGAAGGCAGAGAGUACUGGCAGCAGAGGACGUGGCAUUCUGGGAGGAUGGCAGCUAUGAGGCGGUGUCAGGAUGGACCCCAAGUUCCUCCAUCCAGGAGCUCAGUGACAUCAGGACUACAAGACAGGAAGAGACGUCAGGUCUAUGCUACAGGAGAGAUGUUGGGCCUGUCCUGAAUGCAGCAUAAUGUUUGAUCAUGUUUGGACAAAAAACUCUGCCAGAUGGUCCAGAAAUUGACAAGCAUUUAUGUCUUAUUUUGUGUGCAAACAGUAAAAAAAUAAAAAAAAAUAAAGAAAAAAAAAACUU